rnacentral:lncRNA from 1 species
GCAUAGCUUGAAGUUAUAAAUACAGAUUUGUAUUCUGUUAUUAAAUCAAAACCAUGCACUCACAGCAGGUGGCUAUGCUUUAAAUCUCUUGCCAGUGUCUGCUCAGCUUUUAUGGAUCAGUCCAAUUAUUCACAGCUCUGCAUCCUCACAACACCUAAGAUGGCAUUUUUCAAAUUCACACACACCCAGCCCUUGAAUUCAAGCAAGGAUUAUAUUUUGGAUUUGGGCCUGAGCAAGAACAGAAAAAGGAAAAGUUAUUUUGAUUUCAUUCAAAGAACACUGUAUUCAGAGAGGUUAUACUCUAAUGAGUAAGCCAGCAGGUGGAGAAGAAGAAGAAUGCUGCCAAGUGAUCAGAGUUGGAGAAGUCUCCCUCCCUUCUGCCUCCGCCAAUAUUAGAAUAAAGGUUUUUGACUUUUUCCA